UAUAUCUACAAAAGCCAAUAUGUUUAUGUUUGUAUGUACGUUUCAGCCGCAUACAUAUUAAGAAUAAAUCAAAGUUUGAUCGCUAUGUUCAUAAAUGCUUUAGAUUGUACAACAUGCACUAUAUUGUGUCUGUCCUUUCCAUGUGUAUUCUCAUACAUAUGACGUGGUUAGACAAUUGUCUUUCUAUAAUUGAUUAUGAACAGAUGUGUCCGUUUUACAAACAAUGCACAAGUGAAGUUUCACAACGAGUGCUGCAUAUUGUUAUUGAUUCCUUGGACACGUUAACACAGUAGAACCAAACCACCAAUCACAAUGCUAGUGGAGACAGAUUUUGAAGAAGUUGGAGUUGACAGUAUAGAUGCACCAGAGGGGGAGGGGCGUGACGAUGUGAUUGAUGAUUGGAGAUACUGAUCGUAACUGUAGAUAUUCUGAUUUGUGAAAUGAAAGCCAUGUAAUCUUGAUUUAACAAUACAAAUGUUUGAAAAUGUGUCAAUAUAUCGAAGAUAUUUUUUCUUCAUGGAUUAAAAACGUCUAAGAACUAUA